GAUGAACGCUAGCGGCAGGCUUAAUACAUGCAAGUCGAGGGGCAGCAGGGUGUAGCAAUACAUCGCUGGCGACCGGCAAACGGGUGCGGAACACGUACACAACUUUCCUUUAAGUGGGGGAUAGCCCAGAGAAAUUUGGAUUAAUACCCCGUAACAUUAUGAAAUGGCAUCAUUUUAUAAUUAUAGCUCCGGCGCUUAAAGAUGGGUGUGCGGCUGAUUAGGUAGUUGGCGGGGAACGGCCCGCCAAGCCUACGAUCAGUAACUGGUGUGAGAGCACGACCAGUCACACGGGCACUGAGACACGGGCCC
rnacentral:rRNA from 1 species